rnacentral:lncRNA from 1 species
AUCUUUCUGUGCCUCAGGGAAAGCUUCUCAGGCCUUCUUACAAUGAAGGAUCAAUAAAAGCCUGAUAAAGUGAGUCAUGAGAUGAGUGUGUCAAGAAGGAAGCAUGUGAUAAUCUGGAAUUAGAAAGAAGUUGUUGGUUUAUGUGAACUAAAGGUAAUUGAGCACGGUGAGAGUGAGGUCAGGAGUACUGAGUUUUGAGCCUGGAAAUGAAGAUGAUGAAGCAUGAGAAAUCCUUCUUGAAGCAUAGGUUUUUAUCCGAAGCACAGUGAAGGAAUAACUGUAGAAAAAGGAAAGAUUGAAAUCAGGACUGGAAACUCAGAGGAUGUUACACAAAUCCAGGCAAGAAAUUGGCUACUGUCAUAAUCUCUGGGAUACAGAUUUAGAAUGAUGAAUACAAUUUUGGUAGCAUAGAACUUAAGUUGCUUAUGAGAUAUCCAAGUGGGUGUAUUUAGUAGGCAGUUGGAUACAUGUUUUGGCACUCAAGAAAGAAAUCAGAGGUGAAAUCAUUGCUUGAGAUUAUUUGUUUACUCACUCAUUUAAAAAUAUUAUUGAUAAUUUAUCAUAACCAGUACUUGGCAUUGACUACGAGGUGCUGAUGCUGCAUAAGAGAGAAACAGGCCAAAAUCUUCAUCUUCAUGGAAUUCCUCAGCUGGAAAGACAGAAACAAACCAAAAAAUGAUACACGAUAUCUCAGAGAAUUAUAAGUUAUCAAUAGAAAAAUAAAGCAGAAAAGAAAGGCAAGUCAGAAAAGAUGUGAAAUUUUAAAUCAAACAUUAUGAGAAAUAAUCACUAGGGUAUUAAUUAAGCAAAGAUUAAAGAAGGCAAAGGAGAAAACUGUGCACAUAUCAGGAAGCAAUGAUUCAGAUGAAGGGCCCGAGACGUACCAUGUAUAGAUGGACAGAACAUCUAUACAUCCCUAUAUCUUGGUAAUUAAAUCACAGGAGACACAGAAUGAUGAUGAUGGAAAAGGAGGAGAGGGAGAGAAAACAGGAAGAGGAAGAGUGAGGAGAAAGCAGAAGGAGGAGGAACAGGAGAGGGAGGGAGAGAGGAGAAAGAAAAGGAAGAGGAGAAAAGGAGGAGAGGAAAAGGAAGAGAGAAAGAUGGAGAGAGACAAAAGGAAGAGAGGGAAACAGAAAGGAAGUGAAGGAUCCCUAGUGGCGGUAAAGUAAAAUCAUUGGGUGCCCAACUGGAAUGCAACACUGUGUUUCUUAUCAAGAAGAUGAAAGGGGAAAUCAUGAAAGAUCUUUGGUUCUUAGAGUGGAUCAUGAACAAUUUCACAUUUGUAUGACAAUGAUGGAAGGAUGAGGAAGCUGAUAAUGGUACUAUGCUCAAGUUUUAAAAAGUAGUGUGAACUAACACAACCACUGUGGAAAUCAGCAUGAAGAUUCC